rnacentral:lncRNA from 1 species
GUAUGGGAUAUGCCGGUCAUUUCAGCAAGCAUUUUGUUAGGGAAAUACCGCAUUGAAAUCUGAUUGUGAUUAAAAUCUAAUUAGUUUUGUGAUAAAAAUAAAUAAAUCAACUUACAGAUAAACACAAAUAUCUGAAUAAAAAUUUGAUUUUAUCCGAAAGCAUGCGAGUCAUUGCCCUAAAGCGUAUUUCCGUCCUUACGUGCGGGAUUAAUCAGAAAUAACAUCCAAAGGUACGACCGCAAUUUCUCCUUGUGCGAGCACGAUCGUGAAGAAGGUUGACGGAGAUUCUGUCAACACCGAAUGGAUAAAGAGAAUAUUCAAAAAUAAAAGAUAAAAGAAUGAAUCAAUAGAAUUAACCAAUAAUCUAAUAUUUUUUCUACCGGCUCUAUCUUAAACAAGGAGAAAAAGAAAUGGUAUAAAAGAAAAGAGAAUUUCACGCUUUUUCUCGUUACGAGAAAAAAGCAGAAUCCGCCGUUUGGCGAAAGAAACGGAACGAAAAAAAAAAAUCUCGUUGGUUUCUUCCUCACUAAGAAAGAAAAUAAAAUAAGUAAAUAAAUAAAAUUAAAUAAAUAAAAGAAUAAAAUUAACAAAUAAAAAAUUAUGAUAAAUAUUAAAUAAAUAAAUUUAAAAUUCAAAUAGUAUAAAAUUCAAAUUUUAAAAUUUUG